CGUUUAGCUCAGAAUCUAUAAAUUAUUAUAAGUGUAACCUUUAUUAACUAUUUAUAUAAUAUGCCUACUGUAGUAUUUAAUGGCAAUGUUUCGUUAUUAGCUUACAUAGAUAAAAAAUAAAAAACGUUAUCGUAUUAUUCACGAGCAAAAUGUUUAAUAAAAUAAUUAAAAACCAUCGAUGGAUAAUAUUUUACUUAUGAUAAUGGUUUUAAUUCGCACGUAUUAUAAUAUAUUAUAAUAAACUAUAAAGGUAGAUAGUUAUAUAAAACCGUUUUUUCUUUUUUGUUUUAUUGUAAAUAAAUAAUAAUUAUUGUUAACGAGACGUCGUGUGUCCGAGACCUACAGUGGACUAAAAACAAUAAUUAUUUUUGCAAAUAUAUAUCAACUCUAAGUCAAGGGCUCAUUUUUUGUCAUGUUUUGUAUUAUAGUACAAAAGAAAAAAAUGUCCAUACAAACUUUUUUCUAGGCUUUUGUUGUGAGAUUCUCCAUACUCUCAUUCGGCACCAUAGUACCGAUAAACUGGUGGCAAACAUCAUAGAAAACCGCUGUUUAUAUUAAAACAGAUGGACAAUGUCAACAUCAUUAGACUAAUAAUGAGUGUAUCACGUUUUACAGUGUAUAACAGUCAAAGGUUAACAAGGAAAUAUUUACGUUCAGUUUUUUUUUAAUGUUUCACGUAUUUAUAAGUAGGUAACCAACACAUUAAUGAAUUCGUUUUUUUUUUUUACUAAAAAGUUAAGACAUUUGAACUUCAAAAUAGAUACCUAAUCAUUUAAAUAAUAGUUAUCAAAAAAUAUCAAGGGGUUCAUCUAUCUAAUCUCCAUCCGUAAAUAUGCCCUUAACGUAAGCAGUAUCAUUGAUAUUGUAUCAAUAUAAUUGUGUGAUAGGUAUUCUAAUUUGUGAUCAAUCAAAAUAUUGAGCUGAACUAUAUACUGUUAAUAGAUUCUGUGUGCGGCAAAGAUUUUUACUAAGAUGUGUUUAUUUUUCUCAAAAACCCGGUUUUUGGUUGGUAAAAAGUAAGUACUGAAUUUUCCACGCAGUUUCUGAAAACAAGCGGAAUUGCGUUACUUUUGUUUAAACUCCCGAUAGUUCUUGGAGAAAAAAACACCCGGACGACAAAAUGAGGAUGUAUGCGGUAUUACAGUUUUUAUUUCGGUUGAUUUCCAGUUUAUCGUUUUUCGAUUGUCAUAAAAUCGUUGCUUUCGAUACAUUUAUAAACUAUAUAAAUCGUCAAAUUUGUUAUCAUAUACCUAUCCAAUUUCCCAUCAACUACCACAGUGGCCAUGGUGCGAAAUAUGUCCAGUGUUUUUAACAAUUUUUUUUUUCCCAGCACACAAUACCACGAGAAUCGCGACACGUAUGCCGACAUAUUUUGUACAUUACAAAAGCAAUAAUAUUCGGCGCGUAUUGUGAGAGCGUGUAAUAGACAAUACAGUACAAUACUACUACAGUGCUACGUGACGAUGCAAAAGGUCAAAAUAAAAUAGUAUACACAAUAUUCUAAAACGAUAUGACGUGUUUGGUGUCGUCAUUUGACGUCCGCACCAAUUUGCUAGUACUAAUAUCGUAUCGUUUUAUGGACGUGGGUAAUUCCGGUGCCAGUCCCACAGCCGUCAACUCCGGAAAUGGGACCUGAUUUCGUGGGGCUGCACGUAGGAGACGCGCUGUUCGUUCGGCCCCGUAACGACAACGACGGAACAAUACAAAUAUUUUUUUUAUAUUGCCAGACAGGAACUUUUAUAACGGAGUGUUGGUCGAAUAGCGCUUUUUUGCUUAAACGGUCGAUUGCACUUCAAACAAUAAAAGGUUUAAAAAACACUAAUUUUAUAUAAUUUAGUAUUUUUUUUUCCUUACAAACAAUUUAAUAAUUUAUUCAUAACAAUAAAAUAUUAAACAAAAAAUAAUAAAUAAACUUAUGCAUAUUGCCCGUAUAACAUGUGCAUCUAUUUCCGGCUACUUUUGAACAUUUUUAGCGUUUUCAAACUCAGCAAUUGUUUUAUAGGUUGACAGUAUAGUGAUCGAAUUUAAAUAUGUAUUUUACCUUGUUGUUGUAGGUAGAUGAGGUUUUUAAAGUUUUGAACACCACUAAAGGCACCCUAAAUUAAGCAAUGAAGCAUAAAAGAUGCAUAGUAUACGUAUCGAGGAUGUGCCUUUUGGAGGUUUUGAUUUUCAAUCGCCUCCAUAAACAUUUUUGUACAAAAAAAGCUGGAUUUAAAAUAUCACUACAAACGCAUAAAAAAGACGGGUUUGCACGAUUGGUGGGCCACUGUUGUAGGUGGUAAGUUGGGAAGACAGGAUACAAAGGGGGAUAUAAUGUACAUCCAUAGGUGCCCGCAGGAAAUUUAUCAGGGAGGGGCAUUCAAAAUAAAACACCAAAAAGUACUUAAAAUAAAAUAAUAUUUGAAAUGUUGAAG